UACGUAGGGGGCAAGCGUUGUCCGGAUUUAUUGGGCGUAAAGAGCGUGUAGGCGGCCAGGUAGGUCCGUUGUGAAAACUGGAGGCUUAACCUCCAGCUGUCGAUGGAAACCAUCUGGCUAGAGUCCGGAAGAGGAGAGUGGAAUUCCUGGUGUGGCGGUGAAAUGCGUAGAGAUCAGGAAGAACACCGGUGGCGAAAGCGCUCUGCUGGACCUAAACUGACACUGAGGGACGAAAGCUAGGGGAGCGAAUGGG
rnacentral:rRNA from 1 species